UACGUAGGGGGCUAGCGUUGUCCGGAAUCAUUGGGCGUAAAGAGCGUGUAGGCGGUCCGGUAAGUCCGCUGUGAAAGUCGGGGGCUCAACCCUCGAAUGCCGGUGGAUACUGUCGGGCUAGAGUGCGGAAGAGGCGAGUGGAAUUCCUGGUGUAGCGGUGAAAUGCGCAGAUAUCAGGAGGAACACCUAUUGCGAAGGCAGCUCGCUGGGACGUAACUGACGCUGAGACGCGAAGCGUGGGGAGCAAACAGG
rnacentral:rRNA from 1 species